CGUGUAGGCGGUUUGUUAAGUCUGAUGUGAAAGCCCUGGGCUCAACCUGGGAAGUGCAUUGGAAACUGGCAGACUUGAAUACGGGAGAGGGUAGUGGAAUUCCUAGUGUAGGAGUGAAAUCCGUAGAUAUUAGGAGGAACACCGGUGGCGAAGGCGGCUACCUGGACCGAUAUUGACGCUGAGACGCGAAAGCGUGGGGAGCAAACA
rnacentral:rRNA from 1 species